rnacentral:rRNA from 1 species
AAGGUAGCGAAAUUCCUUGUCGGGUAAGUUCCGACCUGCACGAAUGGCGUAACGACUUGGACGCUGUCUCAACGAGGGACUCGGUGAAAUUGGAGUCUCGGUGAAGAUACCGAGUACCCGCAUCAAGACGGAAAGACCCCGUGAACCUUUACUGCAACUUGAUAUUGGAGUUUGGUGUGUUCUGUUCAGGAUAGGUGGGAGACUGUGAACCAGCGGCUGCGGCUGCUGGGGAGUCAACCUUGAGAUACCACCCUUGACAUACCGGGCUUCUAACACUGCGCCGUAAUCCGGGCAGUGAACAGUGUCAGGCGGGCAGUUUGACUGGGGCGGUCGCCUCCUAAAAUGUAACGGAGGCGCCCAAAGGUUCCCUCAGUACGGUUGGAAACCGUGCGUAGAGUGUAAAGGCAAUAAGGAGCUUGACUGCGAGACCGACGGGUCGAGCAGGUACGAAAGUA